GGGGAUGUAGUUCAGAUGAUAGAACACUCGCUUAGCAUUUGAGAGGCACGAGGAUCGAUACCUCGCAUCUCCA
rnacentral:tRNA from 1 species